UUCAUUUUCAUGCUUCAAUUAGGACCACUUCCUUAGAAAUGUCUUUUCUGUUUUAUAGGGGUUAAAAUUAGCAACAGACUGUUCUUUUAUCUCAUCAGCAUAAUUUAUGCAUACUGUGAAAGUGUUCCCAUUCCUGUGUUCAGCCUGCUCAUCGCUCAUUUUGAUCCAGUUGGCAGCAUUCAAAUUUCGUUAGUACACCUUGGAUUUUCAURCCAGGAUAAAUUUCUAGCAGCAAAAGAAAGAGUUCUACAAUCUGAAAGGACUGUGAAUAUUAUCUCUUGAGAGCUAGAUAACAACAAAAGUCACAAAACCUCAGAUGGAAACCAUCAUCAACAGCAAGCAUACCAGAACCAAACUCUACUUCCCUAUUAGAAGAAGAUCCUUUUGGACAGCUCACUAGUCCCAUAUGCUGGAUGUGCAGCAAAGGUUUCUCUUUGGUUCUCUUACUCAGUGCAAACAACUUCAUGCUAUGUGGCUGAGUAAUACCUGUAAUUCAGCAUCAGGAGAGUAUGAAAAAUGAGUGUAAUUAAUCCCUGGUAAUAUUUGCUAUGUAACAGGUGCAGAAUCUAAACUGGAGUUUAGGUUGGCAAGAGAUAUUGUUAACAUAAGGGUUACAAAAAGUACCUGCACACCUUACAGUGACAGCUGUAAGAUACUACAGCUAUCAAAACCCAAAAGAUGAAACCCUGGAGUUCAGAGUUAACUUGAAAAUUGAGUCUGCCAUUUAUAAAAGAUUUCAAAUGCUCAAUGGAAGUGCUCAGACUACUUUAAUUUUGCUCCAAUUUUUUGUUUGCUCCUCACAUAUGUAAAGUCAAGUUCUAGAAAUCACUAUGCAUGAAAAAAAAAUGAAGGUUUGCAGAGUCAUGUCAUGCCAGUAUAAAUUGUGUUGACCAAGGGCUUUUUCUUAGAUAUUAACAAAGUUCAGAGACUAUUGCCACCAAUAUCUCAAUUAUCUAAAUUAUCAUUGUAAAGUCUACUCUGCUGGAAUGAACUAUUCAUGGUAUCUUCUGAAGCCAGGAUGGGAAAGGAGUCCAAUCAGGAGUCCAGCCAGAACUCUGAAGGAUGCAGGACUAGUCUCAGGUAUAAAACAGAAACGGUUCUGGUCGAAUCUAAUGCCUGUGAGGUUUUCCUGGCAUACAACACAGCCCCAUCCUGCUUUAUCCUGCAUCUGGUAUGGAUAUUGUACUGUAGAUAAGCUGCACUAGCUUUAUACCCACUGCCUGCAUGAGAAUCUUCUCUGGAGAAA
rnacentral:lncRNA from 1 species